UACGGGGGGAGCAAGCGUUGUUCGGAUUUACUGGGCGUAAAGGGCGCGUAGGCGGCCACCGCAAGUCGACUGUGAAAUCUCCGGGCUUAACCCGGAAAGGUCAGCCGAUACUGCGGGGCUAGAGUGCAGAAGGGGCAACUGGAAUUCUCGGUGUAGCGGUGAAAUGCGUAGAUAUCGAGAGGAACACCUGAGGUGAAGACGGGUUGCUGGGCUGACACUGACGCUGAGGCGCGAAAGCUAGGGUAGCAAACGGG
rnacentral:rRNA from 1 species